UACGAAGGGGGCUAGCGUUGCUCGGAAUCACUGGGCGUAAAGGGUGCGUAGGCGGACGCUUAAGUCAGGGGUGAAAUCCCGGGGCUCAACCCCGGAACUGCCUUUGAUACUGGGUGUCUGGAGGUCGAGAGAGGUGAGUGGAAUUCCGAGUGUAGAGGUGAAAUUCGUAGAUAUUCGGAGGAACACCAGUGGCGAAGGCGGCUCACUGGCUCGAUACUGACGCUGAGGUGCGAAAGCGUGGGGAGCGAACAGG
rnacentral:rRNA from 1 species